AUGGCUUCAGGCUUGCAGGUGUUUGGCCAGCCAGCAUCCACCGAUGUUGCCAGGGUUCUGACAUGCCUCUUUGAGAAGAAUUUGGAGUUUGAUCUCGUCCGCAUCGACACAUUCAAGAGACAGCACAAGCUUCCUGAGUUUGUCAGGCUGCGGGAUCCAAGUGGACAAGUGACAUUCAAGCAUGGCGACAAGACUCUUGUCGAUCCAAGGGCUAUUUGCCGGUACCUCUGUACCCAGUUCCCAAACCAGGGAAACAGGAACCUCUAUGGAACAGGUUCUCUGGAGCGGGCAUCAAUAGAACAGUGGCUGCAAGCAGAGGCUCAGAGCUUCAACCCUCCCAGCUCGGCCCUCGUGUUUCAGCUGGCAUUUGCUCCUCUUCUGGAAAUUCCUCAGGACCACAUGGCCAUUGCAGAGAAUGAGAGGAAGCUUCAGCAAGUCCUCAACGUUUACGACGAAAUACUCUCCAAGAAUGAGUACCUGGCUGGCGAUGAGUUCACCCUGGCCGACCUCUCCCACCUUCCGGACUCGCAGUACAUCGUGAGUUCAGAGAGAGGGAGGAAGCUCUUCACCUCCAGGAGGAAUGUGGCGAGGUGGUUCGACAAAAUCUCGAGGCGCAAGGCCUGGGAGCAGGUUGUCAAGAUGCAGAUGGAGCAUCCUGGGGCCUUUGAGUAA
rnacentral:rRNA from 1 species